CGACGCAGAAGAUGGGUGAUUUCUGCAUUUCCAACUGAGGAUUGGACAAUUAAAUGAGGAUUUUUCUGCCCACUGAUACUGACAUGUUCUGCACUAUUCAGGUGUCCGUUAUUCAGGAAACUGAAACUGUGGAACGAGAAACCAUGGAUAAGGGAGGACUACAGUACAUCAAAUGGACCAAUCAUGGCUUUCUGCAGGUCCUCAUAUUAUGUAGCCUGUCAUUCAGGGAUAUGUGAUCUGAAUGACAAUAAGAAGCCAGACGUAUGUGAAGAUGGUGGAAGGACAUUCUAUGAGUAAACAGCAAGUGCAACGUAACGUUGGUAUGUCUGAGAAACAGAAAAAAGACUAAGAUGGUUGAUGCACAGAAGUAAGAGGAAUACAGUGGCGGGAAAUGAUGCCGAGAAAUAGGCAAGGGCCACUUCAUACAAGGUCUUGUAGGAGACUGGAAGUAUAAGCAUAGUGUACUUGAUUAAAAGGUGUACAAGCAGAGAUACCCACCCACUGAAAGUGGGACACAAGAAAACUUGUAUGUUUCUGUGUGAACUUAGA
rnacentral:lncRNA from 1 species